ACACAGUCAUGGACAAUUUUGUAUCUCCAAUUCAUCUUACUUGGAGCUCCCGCAGGAAACCCAUGCAGACACUGGGAGAACAUGCAAACUCCACAUAGAAAGGACCCGGAUCGCCCCAUUUUGGGAUUGAACCCAGGACCUUUUUGCUGUGAGGUGACAGUGCUACCCACCGAGCCACCGUGCCGCCCUUUGAUGUCAAGACUAAAGGGCUCUGAUGGGUCUGGUGCCAUCUGAGCACACCGGGUGCAGGGGGUGCAUACACCCUGUACCAGGAGCCAAUCAACAGACAACUCACCCACACAUUUACACCUGCUAUAAUUCAAUCAUUCAUAAAUUCAUUGUCUGUUUUUCUGUUUAUUACUGAAUUACACUGUCAACAUGCCAAAACGAAAAAAAAAAAAAACAUACGGCUCUGAGUGGUUGGCUCACCACCCUUUUAUUUCGAAGAGUAGGAAUAAUAAAUGUAAUGCUUGCAUCACAAUUAUAUCAAUUAAGGUUUUAAUUGUGUGUGCUGCAGACACUAUCCUGACUACCCACUGUCAUGCCCUUCUUUUUGGGGUCCGAUGUACUCUUUCUUGGGGUAAUGUAAGUGGCCACCGUAUACUUAAGGCCCUACCUAAUUCAUGGCUGUGAAAAUUGCAUUACGGACUGUGAAAUGAACCGUUUCCCAUGUAACGUGCAAUUGGCUGUAAAAGUCAAAAUUUAAGGUUUGUGUAUGCAAUUAUACGGUAACAGUGUAACAGACA